rnacentral:rRNA from 1 species
CAAUAGCGUAUAUUAAAGUUGUUGCAGUUAAAAAGCUCGUAGUUGGAUUUCGGAGUGGGCCAGUUGGUCCGCCGCAAGGUGUGUUACUGACUGGUUUGCUCUUCUUCGCAAAGACUGCGUGUGCUCUUUAUUGAGUGUGCGUAGGAUUUACGACGUUUACUUUGAAAAAAUUAGAGUGUUCAAAGCAGGCUAUUGCUUGAAUACAUGAGCAUGGAAUAAUGGAAUAGGAUUUUGGUCCCAUUUUGUUGGUUUCUAGGACCGAAGUAAUGAUUAAGAGGGACAAUUGGGGGCAUCCGUAUUUCGUUGUCAGAGGUGAAAUUCUUGGAUUUACGAAAGACGAACAACUGCGAAAGCACUUGCCAAGAGUGUUUUCAUUA